GUCUUGGUGGAGCCACGUGACGAGGUGAAGACGUCCUCGAUGCCGGCGAACUUAAGCACCUUCUUGGGCACACGCGUCGCCACGACGCUGGAGCCCAUGGGUGGCAACAUCAUGCGGACAGUAACAGAGCCGUACUUGUCGGCAACCUUGCACGACACGGUGUGGGGCUUUCUUGAUAUUGUUUCCCUAGUAGCCCCUUCUGACCGGCACAACGAAACAUGGCAAGAAUGAUUGCGCCAGACAUCGUUGUUGCCUUGGCGCACUUGACACCGAGCUCAAUGUGGCUGUCCCCAUCGCCGACGACAACAAACAUCUUGAACUUGAUGCACUACCAGGCACGGGUCUGCUUCUGCAUAGAAGUGAUCUUUAUCACCUCUUUCUUGGGCCCCGACACAAGUUGCUCCACGAUCUGAUGCUCCUUGAUGGGAAUGGAAUGAAGGUAGAUCUCCUUGAUCUUCUAGAUUCUGUGCGCCACAGCCACAACUUUAUCACAGGAAUCCAUUUCUCCUCCUUCU
rnacentral:sRNA from 1 species